AUACGUAGGGUGCAAGCGUUAAUCGGAAUUACUGGGCGUAAAGCGUGCGCAGGCGGUUUUGUAAGACAGUGGUGAAAUCCCCGGGCUCAACCUGGGAACUGCCAUUGUGACUGCAAGGCUGGAGUGCGGCAGAGGGGGAUGGAAUUCCGCGUGUAGCAGUGAAAUGCGUAGAUAUGCGGAGGAACACCGAUGGCGAAGGCAAUCCCCUGGGCCUGCACUGACGCUCAUGCACGAAAGCGUGGGGAGCAAACAGGAUUAGAUUCCCUGGUAGUCCACGCCCUAAACGACGUCAACUGGUUGUUGGGGAUUUAUUUUCUCAGUAACGAAGCUAACGCGUGAAGUUGACCGCCUGGGGAGUACGGCCGCAAGGUUAAAACUCAAAGGAAUUGACGGGG
rnacentral:rRNA from 1 species